rnacentral:lncRNA from 1 species
UCCAUAUCGUUUUUAUUUUAUUUUUCUAGAUAUCUUCAUUAUUUAUUCAGUACAAGAAAUGGUAAAUCUUGAUACACAGAUCAAUAAACAAGAACAUUAACUGUGCCACUAGCUUGGAGGAUCUGGAGUGUGGAUGGUAUUGGCUCCUGAUGGUGAAUAAUCACUGAGCUCUAAAUCUUGUCUGCCAUUACCAAACUCUAUCAUUCUCUGUUUUCCAUUUCAACAAAAAUGAAAAAUCAUAUAUCAAUUCAUUUUCUUUUUCAAUUUAUGAUCAUUAUGCAAUACGUACAUGUACCUUGUGAGAGUGGAAAGAAGAUGACAAACCAUGAUCACUUUGAAGCAGAGCUCCAGCCCCUGUGAUUUCAAGAAACAAUAAUUGACAUCAAUGCUCAUUCUGUAAUUCAAAUGAUAAAUUUUUCAAAAAGAAAAAUCUGCAAUUUGAUUACUCGGUGGUGGUGCUGAGGCAGCAUUAAGCAAGGAGAUAAGGUGAGAAAACACUAGUAGAAUUAAUACUAGUUGAUGAAGGAAGUUGCUCGCCAUUUUUCCAAAUUGAACUUGUGGUUUUUAGAAUCUUAAGGAGAUGAAAACAUAAUGAUGGAUGCUUAAUUUAAUUUUAGAGCAUGUUUUUUGUUUUUGGAUAUUUAUAAUGCAGAGAACCCACCAAAGUCAAAAAUGUUGGGGGAGAAACACUUUGUGUUUUUGGGGG